AGCGUUGCUCGGAAUCACUGGGCGUAAAGGGUGCGUAGGCGGGUUUUUAAGUCAGGGGUGAAAUCCUGGAGCUCAACUCCAGAACUGCCUUUGAUACUGAAGAUCUUGAGUCCGGGAGAGGUGAGUGGAACUGCGAGUGUAGAGGUGAAAUCCGUAGAUAUUCGCAAGAACACCAGUGGCGAAGGCGGCUCACUGGCUCGGUACUGACGCUGAGGUGCGAAAGCGUGGGGAGCAAACAGG
rnacentral:rRNA from 1 species